rnacentral:rRNA from 1 species
UGCUUUGCGGCACGAGUUGUAGAUUGCAGGUUGGAGUCUGUGUGGAAGGCGGUGUCCAAGUCCCUUGGAACAGGGCGCCCAGGAGGGUGAGAGCCCCGUGGGAUGCCGGCGGAAGCAGUGAGGCCCUUCUGACGAGUCGAGUUGUUUGGGAAUGCAGCUCCAAGCGGGUGGUAAAUUCCAUCUAAGGCUAAAUACUGGCGAGAGACCGAUAGCGAACAAGUACUGUGAAGGAAAGAUGAAAAGCACUUUGAAAAGAGAGUGAAACAGCACGUGAAAUUGUUGAAAGGGAAGGGUAUUGCGCCCGACAUGGGGAUUGCGCACCGCUGCCUCUCGUGGGCGGCGCUCUGGGCUUUCCCUGGGCCAGCAUCGGUUCUUGCUGCAGGAGAAGGGGUUCUGGAACGUGGCUCUUCGGAGUGUUAUAGCCAGGGCCAGAUGCUGCGUGCGGGGACCGAGGACUGCGGCCGUGUAGGUCACGGA